rnacentral:tRNA from 1 species
GACCCUAUAGCUCAACAGGAUAGAGCAAUGGUUUCCUAAACCGUCGAUCGUGGUUCGAGUCCACGUGGGGUCACCA